rnacentral:rRNA from 1 species
UACGUAGGGUGCAAGCGUUUGUCCGGAAUUAUUGGGCGUAAAGAGCUCGUAGGCGGUCUGUCGCGUCUGCUGUGAAAACUCGGGGCUUAACCCCGGGCCUGCAGUGGGUACGGGCAGACUAGAGUGCGGUAGGGGAGACUGGAAUUCCUGGUGUAGCGGUGAAAUGCGCAGAUAUCAGGAGGAACACCGGUGGCGAAGGCGGGUCUCUGGGCAGUAACUGACGCUGAGGAGCGAAAGCGUGGGGAGCGAACAGG